CUCUAAUCUAACUUUUUCUAAAUCUAUUGAUCGUAUUGAAUCAUCUUAAUCUAUUGAUCGUAUUGAAUCAUCUUACCUUUCCUUAUACUCUACUGAUUGUUGAAGACCUGUGUUGUUUGAACCUCGAACUCCGAUUGGUUUUUUAUGUACACUGGAACACUGGAUGGCGAGUCAGUCCCCUUGGAUCGAUUGAAUUGUUCUACCCUUUCAUACUGGAUAACCAACCCCUUGAACUGCCCUUUCAUACUGGAUAACCAACCCCUUGAACUGCCCUUUCAUACUGGAUAACCAACCCCUUGAACUGCCCUUUCAUACUGGAUAACCAACCCCUUGAACUGCCCUUUCAUACUGGAUAACCAACCCCUUGGAUCUGUUCCCUGGAUACAGAUAAGCCUUCACACAUACACUGGCAUUGUACACUCACACCACCUUACCCGGGUAUUUCUUUUCUUUUGGACAUUUGAGUUUUUAACUAUUGAUUUGAUACUUUGCAUUUUUAAGAGCUCUUUUAUUAUUUUAUAGGGUUUUGUAUUUAUUUACUAUUUAUUUUCUAUUUACUAAUAUUUCCUCUUCUUUUCUCAUAGAGAAAAGAUAUUCUUGCAUUUAAUAAACCUGCAUUAUUUAUUUAUAACAUUUUA